AUACUUGCCUGGCAGGGGCAAGGCCAUGAUCAUGAAGGUGGUUCUCCUAGAAUGAGGCUAGCCUUUUGCACGUUGGGUUUGCUGACACCUCUGAUGUCCCCCAAAUGUGGGACACUCCUCUGCAAAAUUUGUGGUAGUGGGGACUGUGUCCGUGCUCUCCCCAG